GAGAGCUAUGGAUAGCUCAUUGGACUUCUGGCAUAGUGAAGUGAUUCAAAGGUUGUGGGUUCGAGUCCCACAGAGUUGCA
rnacentral:tRNA from 1 species